rnacentral:tRNA from 1 species
AAGAUCUUAAGUUAAAUAAACUAAUAACCUUCAAAGUUAUAAUUAAAAGAACAACUUUUAGAUCUUA